CCUACGGGGUGCAGCAGUGAGGAAUAUUGGUCAAUGGGCGUGAGCCUGAACCAGCCAAGUCGCGUGAAGGAAGAAGGUGCUAUGGAUCGUAAACCUCUUUUAUAAGGGAAUAAAGUGUGGGACGUGUCCUGUUUUGUAUGUACCUGAUGAAUAAGAAUCGGCUAACUCCGUGCCAGCAGCCGCGGUAAUACGGAGGAUCCGAGCGUUAUCCGGAUUUAUUGGGUUUAAAGGGUGCGUAGGCGGCCUUUUAAGUCAGCGGUGAAAGUCUGUGGCUCAACCAUAGACUGGCCGUUGAAACUGGGAGGCUUGAGAAGGCUUGAGGCAGGCGGAAUGCGUGGUGUAGCGGUGAAAUGCUUAGAUAUCACGCAGAACCCCGAUUGCGAAGGCAGCCUGCCAAGCCAUGACUGACGCUGAUGCACGAAAGCGUGGGGAUCAAACAGGAUUAGAUACCCUUGUAGUC
rnacentral:rRNA from 1 species